GGCGGACGGGUGAGUAACACGUGAGCAACCUGCCCUAUAGAGGGGGAUAACGUUUGGAAACGAACGCUAAUACCGCAUAACGCGCUGGGGGGGACAUCCCUUUGGCGCCAAAGGAGCAAUCCGCUAUAGGAUGGGCUCGCGUCCGAUUAGAUAGUUGGCGGGGUAACGGCCCACCAAGUCGACGAUCGGUAGCCGGACUGAGAGGUUGAACGGCCACAUUGGGACUGAGACACGGCCCAG
rnacentral:rRNA from 1 species